GCAUACUAAUUAACUCCUUUACAGGAGAAUUGAAGAGGUUGCGAAACCUUGUUGCAGAUGCAAAAGCCAACAAUAUAAAAGUUGUCUGUGCUUUAGUCAAAAGAAUGUUGGAAAGGAACAUGUUUCUCCAUGGGUUUGUGGAUAUAAAUGAAGGUUGUGCAACAGAAAGAGUAAAUGAACUUACAGAGAUACAGAAUGCUAGAGUCCAAACUGCAUAUGAGAAGUUGUUUGCAAACACACGAAUUGAGCACUUCACCCAUUUGGACAUGG